rnacentral:rRNA from 1 species
AUGAACGCUGGCGGCGUGCCUAAUACAUGCAAGUCGAGCGAACAGACGAGGAGCUUGCUCCUCUGACGUUAGCGGCGGACGGGUGAGUAACACGUGGAUAACCUACCUAUAAGACUGGGAUAACUUCGGGAAACCGGAGCUAAUACCGGAUAAUAUAUUGAACCGCAUGGUUCAAUAGUGAAAGACGGUUUUGCUGUCACUUAUAGAUGGAUCCGCGCCGCAUUAGCUAGUUGGUAAGGGAACGGCUUACCAAGGCAACGAUGCGUAGCCGACCUGAGAGGGUGAUCGGCCACACUGGAACUGAGACACGGUCCAGACUCCUACGGGAGGCAGCAGUAGGGAAUCUUCCGCAAUGGGCGAAAGCCUGACGGAGCAACGCCGCGUGAGUGAUGAAGGUCUUCGGAUCGUAAAACUCUGUUAUUAGGGAAGAACAAAUGUGUAAGUAACUAUGCACGUCUUGACGGUACCUAAUCAGAAAGCCACGGCUAACUACGUG